AGGGUUCGAUUCUGGCUCAGGACGAACGCUGGCGGCGUGCUUCAUACAUGCAAGUCGAACGAGAAACUGACUUCGGUCAGUGGAAAGUGGCGGACGGGUGAGUAAUAUGUAGAGAAUCUGCCCUAGAGAGAGGGACAACAGUUGGAAACGACUGCUAAUACCUCAUAUGCGCGUAGUUGAAAUACUAUUCGUGAAAACUCCGGUGCUCUAGGAUGAGUCUGCAUCUGAUUAGCCUGUUGGCGGUGUAAUGGACCACCAAGGCGACGAUCAGUAGCUGGUUUGAGAGGAUGAUCAGCCACAAUGGGACUGAGACACGGCCCAUACUCCUACGGGAGGCAGCAGGUAGGGUAAUUUUGCGCAAGUCGGGGAAACCCUGACGCAGCAACGCCGCGUGAACGAAUAACGCCCGUUCGGGGUGUAAAGUUCUGUCAGUGGGGACGAAACUUGACGGUACCCACAGAGGAAGCAUCGGCUAACUCCGUGCCAGCAGCAGC
rnacentral:rRNA from 1 species